UUCUAUUUUACUUAUCAGCUUUACAGACUGUGGCUGUGCGAAGUGAAAUUGAAUUAAGUUGAAGAACAAAUAAAUGUGUAAAAAGCAGUAUUCGAUAUAUAUUCGUUUAUAAAUCGUGCAUAGCUGCGAAUUGUAUAUUUAGAAACAGAAACAAGUAAUUAAAACAACAAAAAGCAAAACACUACCGCUGUCGUAUAUGCACAUACAAUCAUGCAUACAUACGAACAAAUGUAUAUAUACAAAAGUGAUUACUUAUGUACAGAUAUACGUCUACUCCGAGCGUAAUUGCAGAGAGCAAAAAUAUGGAGAAUUUCCGAGCGCACAGCGAACGCAAAAGCACAAACACACACACACACACACACACACAUUUUUAUUGCAAAACAAACUGGGUGAAAGAGAGUAGAUAAAGAGUGGGUGGCGUACCGACUUAACGUCAAACCGAUAUAUCAACAAAAUAACAGAAUGACAAAAGGCAUAUGCACACAUGUAUAUACAUAAGUAUAUAAGCAAGUAUGAGUGUGUGCGUGUGUACCAUAUAUAAACAAGUGGGAUAGAUGGGAUUAUCAGCGUAUUUGUGGGGGGUUAAUAUUUCAGUUCAGAGAUGCACUCACUCUUCUAGCUAGGGUAUCUAAGUUAUUUGCAAAAUGAAAACAAAAUACACAACAACAGACGAAAAUAGAAACAAAAACAAAAUACGAAAAAACGCUAAGGAAAGAAGAACGCUUCAUCAAAUCACAUUUGAGUACGUUUAUACAUAUGUACAGCAAUAAGAUUACACCUGCAUACAUUUGGUACAUACCUAAGUAGUUACAGUGUGUUUCAUGGAUUAUACACUUUAAUUGGAUGAGACUGUUAGUAUUAUUAUUACAAAUUUUGGUACUAUCGGAGUGUUUUAAAUAAUUAUGCCAUAAAAUGCUGCAAUAUUUAUAAGCAGCGCAGUACAAAAGCGUUUUUUUUUUCAAUACAUUGUUAAUGGCCGAACACAACUUGUUGCUUAGGGCAUUAUGUUGUUGUCAUUUCAGUAGCGUAGCAAUAGUUUUUUUCAUUACCAAUUUGACUGAGCCAACAAGAGUGCUGCAAAACGCGCUGCUCAAUUGUUUUCUUUAUUCUUUUGAAACUGCUCUUGGGGAACGACAUA